AAACCCCUAAUCUGCCGGCCGCUGAGGCUCUCUUCCAUUUGCUUUGCCUCGCUCCUCUGCUCCGACACGAUCAGUACCCAAAGAAACUCUAACCUCGGAGAUGAAUGCAGAGACCUCCGAUGCCCCGCCGACGAGCCUCGUCGACAGAACCGUCGUCCCCGGCGACACCGUUCUGGAUCUCACGGCCAUGGCGAACCAGACCAUCAAAUUGGGAGCAGGGCUACGCCAGGAUUGCGAUACGAUAUCGGUCAUGAAGGCUGGGAAGCUGAGGUUAUCGAAACCGAACAAGUACUGGGUCGAGAGCUCUCACAAAAGAUAUGCGCCGUGUGUGGAAGAUACAGUUCUUGGCAUUGUGGUCGAUUGUAAACCAGAUAACUUUCUGGUUGACAUAAAAGCUCCUACGUUGGCAUUUUUACCUGUGCUUGCAUUUGAAGGUGGAACUCGGAGAAACAUACCAAAGUUUGAGAUAGGUACUUUGCUAUAUGUCCGGGUGGUCAAAGCUAAUAACAGCAUGAAUCCUGAACUUUCUUGCGUGGAUGAGACUGGAAAAGCUUCAGAGUUUGGUCAGUUGAAGGAUGGUUACAUGUUUGAAACAUCAACUGGCUUAUCACGGAUGCUACUAAGCUCUCCGACAUGCCCUGUUCUUGAGGCUCUUGGAAAGACAUUGUCGUAUGAAAUAGCUGUUGGUUUAAAUGGCCGAGUCUGGGUAAAUGCUUCCUCCCCAUCGACAGUCAUUCUCGUAUCAAAUGCAAUAAUGAACUCGGAAUCUUUGAGUGGCGUGCAGCAAAAGAUCAUGGUGGAGAAACUCAUGCAGAGACUUCAAUGAGGGUCUGUAGUUUUCCAUAUUCUUCAUCGGCUUCUUCCUGGCUACGGAUGUCUAACAAUCCAAGUUGGAAUAUGAUGCUAAGAGAUUUAUUUAAUCGACUAUGUAUUCUUGACAUUGUGUUCGCAUAUGGGAUCAUUAUUGGCUCAUAUCAUCAGUCAACAACUGCUCGGUGUCUCUGCUGCAAGAAUGGCUUGCAAGCCUAACAAAACCUGGUUGUUGUUGGUGAUGAAUCAUCCAAAUCUGUUGCUGCUUUGAACAUCUGGGGAUACAAGAUUGAACAGUGGAAAUAUGUGGCAAGCCUUCAUAUUACUUGUGUUUUCUGGACGCUUAAUGAUCCAAGCAAUGGUGAAGGAGCAUUAACGGAUUAUUGUCACAUUAAUCUGACCAUUCUUUUGCUUCAGUCUCUUUCUUUAAAAAGCCAUCCAAAGGUCCCUCUCUUUCUACACAUUACAUCUACAUUACAUUCCCAGGUUUCGUUUUAUACAAAACUUAAAUGAUUUAAAAGAUUCAUAUUGACGGCUCUCCAAAUGGUUUGGUUAUUGCAGCUUAUUGUUGUAUUAAAUUCUGAUGUUAGUUCUUC